GGGCCUCUCCCGCGGCACAUGGAGGCUCCCAGGCUAGGGGUCCAAUUGGAGCUGCAGCCACUGGCCUAUGCCAGAGCCACAGCAACGCCAGAUCUGAGCUGUGUCUGUGACCCACACCACAGCUCAUGGCAACACCGGAUCCUUAACCCACUGAGCAAGGCCAGGGAUCGAACCCUCAAUCUCAUGGUUCCUAGUCGGAUUCAUUAACCACUGAGCCACGACGGGAACUCCUUGCCCUAUCAACAUGUUGUCUCUCCUUCUAUCCUUUUCUUUUUUCUUAUGGGAAAAUUUCAAACAUACAAAAAGAGAACAGUGUAACAAACAGACAUGUGCCCACCACCCAGUAUCAAUGACUCAUAUUUUGCCAUUCCUCCUGUAUCUAUGUCCACCUCCCAACUGUUCCUUUUAGGGAAUAUUAUAGAGCAAACACCAGACAUUGCACCAUUUCACCAUUAGUCCCUGGCAUUUUUCGCCUUUUCUUUUGUUUGUUUAAUGAUGAGCGACUCUGAGAACCCAGUGAAAUGUGCCGUUGUGGAUGGAGGUGGCCCGCUGCACAGAGGAAGACAGUCUGCAUGGCUCAUAUAUAUACGUGGUAUAUAGAUACGUAGAUAUAUUUUUUGGUCUUUUUAGGUCCACACCCACGUCAUAUGGAAGUUCCCAGGCUAGUGGUCCAAUCAGAGCUACAGGUGCCAGCCUAUACCACAGCCACAGCAACGCCAGAUCCAAGCACAUCUGUAACCUACACCACAGCUCACGUCAAUGCCGGAUCCUUAACCCACUGAGCAAGACCAGGGAUCAAACUUCUUUAUGGAUACUAGUUGGAUUCCUGUCUGCUGAGCCACAAUAGGAACCCUCCUAUAUCAAUUAACCAAACUUGGGCCAGCAAUCUAUCUAUUCAUUUGUUCUAUUUUUAUAUUAUCUCAUGGUAAGAAUGCUUCAAGUUGCCUUAUUAUUCAUGAAUAUUAUUUAAUGAAACAGGGGAUAGACAUGAGAUUGAUGACUGAGAUGGGGGCUGAGGACAUUUGAUGAAACCAACACAGUUGUCUUAGGUUCUGAGGAGGAUGGUUGGUUGGAAAGGAGCCUAGAGUGCCUGGUUAGGGAAUCCCAGUUGCUGGAAGGAUGGGACCCCGGACAGCUCCCCCUCCUCUAUGGUGCUUACAGGACGGUUUGAUGCUUUGAUGAGGCUUCAGCCACGAGUGGCUACAGGCUGUCCACGGUGGUGCUGACUCCAGGAACUGUGGAAUGGAGGAGCUAAGAAUUGCACACACUGCUAAUCAUUUAUUCUUGGAACUGUUCACCACGUGGGCUCUGUGACCUUGCAGCAUGAUCACGAACAGGUCUGUCACUAAAAUCCCAUUGGAUUCCAGAGAUUACAGUGCUCUGUGGGCUUUCCUGGCCUUCUUUGGCAGCAGGCAAGGUUGCUGGCUCAGAACUCACAAAUAAGAACACUCCUGUUCCUGGCUAGGUCUUUGGCCUCUGAGGCCAGGACACUGCAGCUUUGUGGAACCCUUAGGCUCUGACAGGAAGUUUGGCAUGCUGUGGCUAACAGCUACCUCUUCUAGCUCCAGUCACAUUAAAGGACUGACAAAGUCUCUCCUCGAUAUGCUGGCUGCUAGGUGGGAAGGCUUUGGAAUCACAACCAGGCUUGUGGGCCUCUGUGAUUUCCAGUUACCUUAAAGCGAUGGUUCUGGGGAGCUUGAAAACAUAUCUAUAGCCAGGCCCUUCCCCAGAAUAAUGAAAUCAAGCUCUCUGGGAGUGGAGUCUGGUUUUGAUAGGGAUGGAGUAGGACAGUCACACAGGUAGUUGUAGAGGUCCCAGUAGGGGACCACAGAUAGGGAGGGAAACCUAGGGAACUUUGAUCUCACUGGAAGUUAUUAUUUGCUCAAGAAAGCCAUCAGAAUGAAGCAGGCUUGCUUAAUUAGAAAACCACAAAUAAAGGCACAAGAUAUGCCUCAGGCUAUUAAAUGAAAGAUACAAUGAGGCCUGGAUUCAAGUUCAGCAAGACGAUGAUCCAUAGGACCAAGGACAGGAAUUUAAGGGAAGAAUGACCCUCCCAAUGAAGAAUGACCCUCAUUAUACGGAAACCUGAGAGGAUUCAACAUAUUUUAGCAUCUGUUACCACCCUUCUGCUGAUUUGACUAAGCACCAUGUCAGUCCUAGUUUGACCUCAUAGGGUCAAAUACUCUCUUACAGGAUACAAAGGAGGAGCUAAUGAUGUAAGCCUGACAUCUACCCAAAGAAGGAAGAAGAGGCAGUCUUUUCCCGCUCCCCACUUUCCUUGGAUUAUAAAAAUGUAGCCCGCCUAAUCCUUGGGGCAGAGCUUCCUUGCUUGCCUGCUCGCAUCUCUUGCCAGCAUUUUAUCUCAAUAAAUCUAUUUCUUGCCUAUCCCUGUGUCUCUUGCUGAAUUCCUCCUGCACCGAGGCACAAAGAACCUGAACUUCUGUAAGUCCAGACAACCAGGUGAUUAGAAUUUUUAAAUUCUAAUUUUAAAAAACCGUGGGUUCCAGUCCCAAUCUGGUUUCUGUCUAGGUUCAAGACAUAAGUGUUGUCAGUUGCAGUUUUGUUCAGGUGAUUCUUACAUGCCUCCAGUUGCACACCUACUGCUUAAGGUAAGAGCCUGUCGUCCUGCACACCAAAUUGUGCUUUCUUUCCCGUCUUUCUUUGUUAGGGUCCUCUUUUCCCUCAAAGCUUUUGAGAGAGAAGAGACAUGUGCUUUUGAGGUUUGAAUAUGCAGGUCAUGCUGGUUUCAUAAAAUGAACUGAGGGAAAUUUUCCAUCUUGCUCUCCAGGCUGAAAGAGUUUGAAUAAGACAGGCUAUACUAGGUAUUGAAGACUAGACAGUAUCCAGUUAUAAGACCAUUUAGGCUUUUAAAAUGGGUGUCUCUUUAAUACACUCUAUUUAAAGUGUUCUGUGAUUAUUGGUCUACUCAGGUGUUCUCCCUCUUUGGAGGGAUUUUUAUCAUUUAUAUUUUGUUAGGACAUUCCCCAUUUCUUCUAGAUUUUCAAAUUUACUGCCACAGAUGUUCACAUAAAAUGUUUUUAGGAUUCUUUUACUCCUUCCCAAUUGGUAAUUACAUUUUCUUUCUCAUUCUAAAGUGGCAGACCUUGAGCUAUUCCAAUCUCCUCCAUUAUAAUAAUAAUAGCUAGUGCUUCUUGGUCACUGACCCUGUGCCAGACACUCGCUUCUAACUGCUGUGCUUGUACUAAUUCAUUUAACCCUCAUGACAACUCAAUAAAAUAGGGACUCUUAAUGACCUUCAUAUUACAGAUGAAUUCCUUACUCCUGGGUGUACAGAGACGUUAGGCAACUUGCCACUAAGUCACAAAGCAGCAUGAAGCUCUGCCUGCUGCCUAACGCCAAGUACGUGUGUUCGUGUGUGUGUGUGUGUGUGAGUUUAGACAAAGCCUACCAUUUGAGUAUAUUAUUCUUGGAUUAAGAAUUAAGAGACGGGGAAAGAAUUAACAACCAUGUGGGAGCUGCAGGUUCCUGCUCAAAGCUCUUAAUUAGGGCACUUGGUCUUUUUAAGGGCUCUAUGGCUGGGAGGUGACAAGAUUCCACUGCAGAGUGGCCCAGAGGCUCUGGGCUGUGAGCUCCAGUGAUUAGAUGGAUUCCACGCUAUGUGACCCUUUUGGCGACUUGGCCCAAGGUCACUUCAUUGAACUGAAUGUUCACUCAGACAAUAUGAGAAGCUUGGAUCAACAUCACGAGGUGGACAAGAGGAGGGACGAAGAAAAUAACCGUGAUUACCCGAACGCGGGGAGUGGUUGUAACAUUCUGCUCAGAGCAACACCACAUUGCAACUUUUGUCUGAAAAGAUAGAUUUAGGAAGUUCCACUGUGGCACAGUGGAUUAAGGAUCUGGCAAUGCCUCAGCCGUGGCACAAAUCACAACUGUGAUGCAGGUUUGAUCCCUGGUCUCAACUUUCACAUGCUGCAAGUGCAGUGGAAAAAAAAAAAAAAAAGAUAUGUUUUUUGGCCACACCUGCGGCAUAUGAAGUUCCUGGGCCAGGGAUUGGAUCCAAGCUGCUGUCAUGACCUAAGCUGUAGGUGUGGCAAAGCUGGAUCCUUAACCCACAGUGCCGGGCUGGAGAGAGAACCUGCGGCCCAGGGCUCCCAAGACACUGCUGAUCCCACUGCACCCCAGCAGGACCUCCUAAAUAUAUACAUUUUAAAUAUCCUCCAGGACUGGCUCUCCAUUGCUUCCAGAAUAAAAUCUGAACUCUUUAGUUUGGUACCCACUGACAUUCUAAGCCCAUCAGCCACUGCUCCCUGUAGGCAUCCCUGUAGCGGCAUCAAACUAAACUCCUGGUUCUUGAUGUCUGCCUCUGUGCCUUUGCCCAUGCUGUUCCCACCAAUGGGAAGGACUUAUCUGUCUCUAGAGCAUCCAAUUCAAUGAAUACUUCAAACUCUAGCAUAUGAUGAUACCAUUUUCAAUUCCCUCCUUCUAUAACUACAAAACACCAGCACUUCUAUAACAUACAGCUUACUGUGUGUGCCAGCACUUUACAUCUG
rnacentral:lncRNA from 1 species